CCUACGGGGGGCAGCAGUGGGGAAUUUUGGACAAUGGGCGAAAGCCUGAUCCAGCAAUGCCGCGUGAGUGAAGAAGGCCUUCGGGUUGUAAAGCUCUUUUGUCAGGGAAGAAACGGUGGGGGCUAAUAUCCCCUGCUAAUGACGGUACCUGAAGAAUAAGCACCGGCUAACUACGUGCCAGCAGCCGCGGUAAUACGUAGGGUGCAAGCGUUAAUCGGAAUUACUGGGCGUAAAGGGUGCGCAGGCGGUUGUGCAAGACAGGUGUGAAAUCCCCGGGCUUAACCUGGGAAUGGCACUUGUGACUGCACGGCUAGAGUGUGUCAGAGGGGGGUAGAAUUCCACGUGUAGCAGUGAAAUGCGUAGAUAUGUGGAGGAAUACCGAUGGCGAAGGCAGCCCCCUGGGAUAACACUGACGCUCAUGCACGAAAGCGUGGGGAGCAAACAGGAUUAGAUACCCUAGUAGUCGA
rnacentral:rRNA from 1 species